rnacentral:rRNA from 1 species
GACGAACGCUGGCGGCGUGCUUAACACAUGCAAGUCGAACGGUAAGGCCCUUCGGGGUACACGAGUGGCGAACGGGUGAGUAACACGUGGGUGAUCUGCCCUGCACUUCGGGAUAAGCCUGGGAAACUGGGUCUAAUACCGGAUAGGACCACUGCCUGCAUGGGUGGUGGUGGAAAGCUUUUGCGGUGUGGGAUGGGCCCGCGGCCUAUCAGCUUGUUGGUGGGGUGAUGGCCUACCAAGGCGACGACGGGUAGCCGGCCAGAGAGGGUGACCGGCCAACCUGGGACUGAGAUACGGCCCAGACUCCUACGGGAGGCAGCAGUGGGGAAUAUUGCACAAUGGGCGCAAGCCUGAUGCAGCGACGCCGCGUGAGGGAUGACGGCCUUCGGGUUGUAAACCUCUUUCAGCACCGACGAAGCGCAAGUGACGGUAGGUGCAGAAGAAGGACCGGCCAACUACGUGCCAGCCGCCGCCGUAA